ACCCCUGCGGGAGGCAGCAGUGGGGAAUAUUGCACAAUGGGCACAAGCCUGAUGCAGCGACGCCGCGUGGGGGAUGAAGGCCUUCGGGUUGUAAACUCCUUUCGCUAGGGACGAAGCUUUUUUGUGACGGUACCUAGAUAAGAAGCACCGGCUAACUACGUGCCAGCAGCCGCGGUAAUACGGAGGGUGCGAGCGUUGUCCGGAAUUACUGGGCGUAAAGGGCUCGUAGGUGGUUUGUCGCGUCGUCUGUGAAAUUCUGGGGCUUAACUCCGGGCGUGCAGGCGAUACGGGCAUAACUUGAGUGCUGUAGGGGUAACUGGAAUUCCUGGUGUAGCGGUGAAAUGCGCAGAUAUCAGGAGGAACACCGAUGGCGAAGGCAGGUUCCUGGGCAGUUACUGACGCUGAGGAGCGAAAGCAUGGGUAGCGAACAGGAUUAGAUACCCGUGUAGUCC
rnacentral:rRNA from 1 species